GUGGGACUCAAGUGAAAUGGUAUCAGCUUCAGCUGCAACAACUGAGAUAUUUGCACUCUACAUGUACUAUUGUUGCCAGUUGUCUGUAUGUUUUACAGUCAUCCCAGCAAACAUGAGUUACCACAAUCAAACUCUUCUAAGAGAGAUUUCUUGGAAGUCAAAACUUGAGGGGAUCUACGCUGGCCUUUUCGUAGGCUCUAUUUCUGCAUUAAUCUCUGUUAAUUUGUUGGACAUGAAUGUGAUGGGAUUCGAACUAGUUUCAAGAUCAAUAUUAUCAGUGCGGUCAAUUUGCUGUUA